CAAGAUUAGUGGCGCCAAAAGUGGCUUGAGUGUUUGCAGCGGUCUUUGGAAGGAGCAGAAAAGGCGCCCGUAUUUUAUUCUGGUCAGUGGUCAGGUCAUGCCAAUUGUGUUGCAGAUUGCGCGUGUGCUUGAGGUACCCUGGGUCACCUGUGGGCACCUGUGGGCACCUGUCUACUGCGUCUAGAGGAGGGAACAAUGGUGGCACGUGGUCGCUGGCCGGGUCCGCUACGUGUGCGGCAGAUUGACUUUGUUUGAGCUGGUCUGAGUCACUUGUGGUCACCCUGCGGACUGGUGGCGUCUACCUGGGCUCAUCUGAGGGCUUGGAGUCAAUGGUGGGCGGGGGACAAGUAAAUCGGGAGGUGAAAAUAAUAACAAUCACUCCACUGCAAACAAAGAAAUUUGUGCCAGAACAACAAUGGCUUACAAAUCAGAUGAAGAAAUGGCCAGGAGACUUCAAAGGGAGUUUGACGAGGAGGCAAGGAGGGCGGAAGAAGCGGAGGACAGUGCAGCGGAAUGGUCUCUAUUGAUGCCACAUUCAAGCCACAAGAUGUCGGACAGCAGCGAGGAAGAAGAGAUGAUGAAGAUUAGAGGAAGAGGUGGAAGGUCUGAUGUCUCAUUCAGUCCCUGUGCAGACAGCAGACCAGGCCCAUCUCACAAGUCACCCCAGGGGCCCCAGAGACAGGAAGAUGGACAAGCAGGUACUUCAGGAGCCAAGCCGCCCUGCAGGUAUGGUUCAUCUUGCUACAGGAAGAAUCCUCAGCACCACUUGGAGUUUUCACACCCUACAGAAGGAGAUGAAGAAGAUGAAGAUGAUGAAGAUGAGGGAAGUGAAGAUGAAGAAGAUGGAGAAGGAAGAGAGAGCAGGAAGAGAAAAGGAGAGGAGGAGACACAAGCAAAGAAGAAGAGGAGGACCAUGCAGAGACCCAGUAAACCCUUCAUAGACCGCCUGGCAGACAGUCAACCCUUCGGUCUGUUUCUCAACAAGUGUUACAGUGUUGAGGGCACCUACAAUGAUUCUUCAUGCCUCGUCCUCAAUGACCUUCUCAACCCGGCCCUUGGCAAGCUGGUGGAGAGUGCACAGCUGACCUUCCUGGUUGACUUGAAAUUCCUGAUGGAAGUUUAUGAGUCUGCAAACGUCGCUGACAAGCCGCUGCUGUUGGUGUAUGGGGAAAUUUGUCCCACCAAAAAAAUUUAUCGGAAUAUCACAUUUUAUAAGGUUCCAGUGCGUUACCGGUAUGGAAGGCACCACACCAAGGCCAUGUUUUUUUUGUACGAGACUGGCAUGAGAAUCGUCAUCCACACUUCCAAUUUGUUGUCCAAUGAUUGUUUUGAGAAGACGCAGGGCUACUGGGUCUCUCCUGUCUUCCCCAAGAUUGAAAAUGGGGAAGCUGGAAUAUCACAAGGAGAGUCACCAACAGGAUUCAAAAGGGACUUGUUGGAGUACCUAGACGCUUACCAAUCAACACACCUGCAGCAUUGGGUCGACCUGGUGGAGAUGCAUGACUUCUCCGAGUGUAGGGCUGUAUUGGUGGCUAGUGUCCCAGGCUACCACACGAAAGAGAUGAAAGAUGAAUGGGGUCACAUCAAGAUCAAGAGGAUUCUGUCAGAACACCUGGACCCUUCCUUGGAGUCCGUCGAGGAACAGCCGUACUCCAUUGUACAGUGCUCCUCUAUUGGCUCCCUAGGCAAGGAUGCAAAGGAGUGGUUGGGGAAAGAGCUGCAUCACAGUCUGUCAGGGGGAUACACCGACACGGACGCCAACCCUAAGAUCUGUGUAGUUUACCCAAAUGAAGAGGAUGUGAGGAACAGCAGUGAGGGAUGGGAGGGUGGGUCCUGCCUGCCUUACAGAUCUGAUGUAGACAACAAGCAGAGGUGGUUGAGACGCUAUAUGCGAUGCUGGCGCAGUGAGGGCAGACAGCGGAGCAGGUCAAUGCCCCACAUCAAGACCUACACCCAGGUGACCCCAGACCACAAGCAUGCCUAUUACUUCAUGCUGACCUCUGCCAACCUCUCAAAGGCAGCCUGGGGUGUGCUGCAGAAGAAGGGCGACCAGCUCUUCAUCAGGGCGUUUGAACUGGGCGUCCUGCUCCUGCCAAAAUUUGUACUGCGUCAUAUCUCCCUGCCGCCUUGUGAGAGCAGCUACACUCUCCCUCUGUGCGCUGGUAAAGUACUGUUGUUUUAAUUAAGGAGAGAGCGAGCGGGAAGAGACACACACACAGAGAGAGAGAGAGAGAUUAGUGAAGGGAACACGAAUGAGGAGGAAGCAGAGAAGGAAUAAAUUGUGAAUAGAAGAGAAAUUGAAGAUAAAGAAGAAGAAGUGUGAUAAAAGUGGAAUUAGUGAAUAAAAAGAGAAACAGGAGAAUUGCGAAAGAGGAAGGAGAAACAGAGGAAGAAUUAAUAAGAAAGAAAACGAGAGAUAUAAGGAAGAAGAGGAGAAUUACGAAAGGGAAAGGAGAUAAAUAAGAAAAAAAAAGAAAAGAUGAACAGAAACUAGUGAAAAUAGAAAAAAGUAAAGAAUAAAGGAAUAAAAAAUUAAUAGCAAAGUGAAAUAACGAAAGAAAAAGAAAGAAAAUAGAAAAAAACAAAGAAAAAACAAGAUAAGCAAAAAAAUAAUCAAAGAAAACGUAAAGAAAACGAGAAAAAUGAAAGGCCAACUCAAGUAUUCUCUCACCUCCCUCCUCCUCCUCCUCCACAUUCUCACCAAAGAAGUGGAAUCCUCUCACCCCAAGAGCGUGUGCAUCCACCACCUAGGCUGCUACCGGGACUCACUGCUCCACCUCCACCAUGUCAUCAACCACCACUCCUACCACACAAAGAGAACCGCAGAAAAUUGUGUUAAAUUAUGUCUGCAGAAGCAAACGAAAACGGAAAUUGUUCUAGUUAAACUUCUAAGCAUUGAUGACCUGUUGAUGUGUGGGUGUGGGGGUCACCAGGCGCUGGGGAAUGGGACAGGCUUAAUGUUUGACCAAUUGGGUUGUUACCUGUGCCCUGACAGUCUUAGAGAGAAGUGUGGUAGUGAAGAUACGUCAAGUGUUUAUGAAAUCCUCCGGUUUUCUAAUGAACCUUGCAAGAGAAUACUAAUAAUACCACCAGCUGUCACUACUACUACUACUACUACUACUACUACUACUACUACUACUACUACUACUACUACUACUACUACUACUACUACGUCACCAGUCCUAAGUGAUCCUAACUACAUUGCAUCUUCUAACGAUUCACUUCCUCUCCCUAACAACCCUGAGUCAUCUAAUUCAUCUUCUAACAAUGAUAACAAGCAAGAUUUCUCCUCUAACCACUCUCAAAGCUCUCCUGACAACCCUAACUACUCUACCAACAAGUCUAGUGUGUCUAACUACCCAAAAACAUCAACUAACACCACUAACAGCCAAUUAGAUGCUAACUACCAGCUUAACAAGGCAAACUACCCUUCGCUAACCAUUCCUAACUUAAACUACAUUGGCUGUUAUGAUGAAAAUGAAGUGAAUCAGUCGUUAGUGGUGACAAUGGUGGUUAACAGCGACUCCAGUGGUAGUUUUGGUAGUUAUGGCCUUAAUUACUGUGCCUCUAAUUGCUCCAGGUCACAUCCCGCCUCUGAAGUGCUGCUGGUCAAGAUGCUGAGUGCUGAUUCGCUCUACUGUGGCUGUGGAAUGUCCGCAGCGCUGCCAUCUAUCGGUGACUCAGAGAAGGACUCCACAAACACCACAACAAACAGUCAGUGCAUCAUGAGCUGCGGGAGGGGGCAGACGUCACUCCCCUGCGGCGGAUGGACUUUUGUGUCAGCUUAUGAGAGAAAUAGCCAAGCAUCUCUCUCUCUUUCUCACUCUCUCUCUCUCUUUCUCACCCUCUCUCUCUCUUUCUCUCUAAUUUUCUGUUGAUUUAUUUGUUUUUUUUCGUUUUUUUGUUUUGUUUGGUUCGUCUCUCUCUCUCUCUCUCUCUCUCUCUCUCUCUCUCUCUCUCUCUCUCUCUCUCUCUCUCUCUCUCUCUCAUGUUUUUAUCUUAUUUUUGUUGAUUUUUUUUUUUUUUAAUUUCAUUUUCCUCCUCCUCCUCCUCCUCCUCCUCCUCCUCCUCCUCCUCCUCCUCCUCCUCCUCCUCCUCCUCCUCCUCCUCCCCCUCUUUCCUCUGCCUUUAUCUCCUUACACUAAUCUCCUUCCCUCCCUCCUCCUCCUCCUCCUCCUCCUCCUCCUCCUCCUCCUCCUCCUCCUCCUCCCCUUUACCCUUUCCUCCUCCCCUUCUCUUCCGUCCUUCACCUUCUCUCCUCCCCUUCCCUCUCUCUCUCUCUCUCUCUCUCUCUCUCUCUCUCUCUCUCUCUCUCUCUCUCUCUCUCUCUCU